UACGAAGGGGGCUAGCGUUGCUCGGAAUCACUGGGCGUAAAGGGUGCGUAGGCGGGUCUUUAAGUCAGGGGUGAAAUCCUGGAGCUCAACUCCAGAACUGCCUUUGAUACUGAGGAUCUUGAGUUCGGGAGAGGUGAGUGGAACUGCGAGUGUAGAGGUGAAAUUCGUAGAUAUUCGCAAGAACACCAGUGGCGAAGGCGGACUCACUGGCCCGAUACUGACGCUGAGGCACGAA
rnacentral:rRNA from 1 species